UUUCUAAUAAAGUUAGUUUGCCGCCUACUUAUAGACGAGACUUAAAUAAUCAGUCUGUUGUAUAUCUUAUUGCGGAGAUGUGCGGUAUGUGAAGUCUGUCAUCAAAUAAUCUUCCAUGGGCAUGUUAAGUUCAGGACACUGCCAGCAACAAACGAUAGCCAAAAAAUCGAAGAAAUCAAAUUUUAAAUAGUAUGGAACAA